rnacentral:rRNA from 1 species
GACGAACGCUGGCGGCGUGCUUAACACAUGCAAGUCGAACGGAAAGGCCCUUCUUUUGUUGGGUGCUCGAGGGGCGAACGGGUGAGUAACACGUGAGUAACCUUCCCUUGACUUUGGGAUAACGUCAGGAAACUGGGGCUAAUACCGGAUAGGAGCUCCUGCUGCAUGGUGGGGGAUGGAAAGUUUCGGGGGUUGGGGAUGGACUGGCGGCUUAUCAGCUUGUGGGUGGGGUAGUGGCUUACCAAGGCUUUGACGGGUAGCCGGCCUGGGAGGGUGCCCGGCCACAUUGGGACUGAGAUACGGCCCGGCCUCCUACGGGAGGCAGCGGUGGGGAAUAUUGCACAAUGGGCGGAAGCCUGAUGCAGAAACGCCGCGUGCGGGAUGACGGCCUUCGGUUUGUAAACCGCUUUCGCAUGUGACGAAGCGUGAGUGACGGUAAUGGGUAAAGAAGCACCGGCUAACUACGUG